rnacentral:rRNA from 1 species
GAUGAACGCUGGCGGCGUGCCUAAUACAUGCAAGUCGAGCGAAUGGAUUAAGAGCUUGCUCUUAUGAAGUUAGCGGCGGACGGGUGAGUAACACGUGGGUAACCUGCCCAUAAGACUGGGAUGACUCCGGGAAACCGGGGCUAAUACCGGAUAACAUUUUGAACCGCAUGGUUCGAAAUUGAAAGGCGGCUUCGGCUGUCACUUAUGGAUGGACCCGCGUCGCAUUAGCUAGUUGGUGAGGUAACGGCUCACCAAGGCAACGAUGCGUAGCCGGCAUGAGAGGGUGAUCGGCAAUACUUGGACUGAGACACGGCCCAGACUCCUACGGGAGGCAGCAGUAGGGAAUCUUACGCAAUGGACGAAAGUCUGACGGAGCAACGCCGCGGGAGUGAUGAAGGCUUGCGGGUCGUAAAACUCUGUUGUUAGGGAAGAACAAGUGCUAGUUGAAUAAGCUGGCACCUUGACGGUACCUAACCAGAAAGCCACGGCUAACUACGUGCCAGCAGCCGCCGUAA